AUGAUGAAUCUACUGCGAAACCCAAAGCACAACAAGGUUCGUACAGUGCUGUACCACCCGGAAUUCAGAAUGGAAAAGCAGGCGUGACCGAGAAGAAACUAGCCGCAGGAGUGAGUAAAAUGGAAAUCAGUGACUUGUCAGACAACAGCUCAGACAGUAGUGAUGAAGAGGCAACCCUAAAACCUGCCACAACAAUUGCACAGACAAAAGCUGACCCCACGCUGGCCAAGGCGGCU